rnacentral:rRNA from 1 species
UGGGGAAUAUUGGACAAUGGGCGCAAGCCUGAUCCAGCAAUGCCGCGUGUGUGAAGAAGGCCUUCGGGUUGUAAAGCACUUUUAUCAGGAGCGAAACGCUGUCGGCUAAUACCCGGCGGAACUGACGGUACCUGAGGAAUAAGCACCGGCUAACUUCGUGCCAGCAGCCGCGGUAAUACGAAGGGUGCAAGCGUUAAUCGGAAUUACUGGGCGUAAAGCGUGCGUAGGCGGUUUCUUAAGUCUGCUGUGAAAUCCCCGGGCUCAACCUGGGAAUGGCAGUGGAUACUGGGAGGCUAGAGUGUGUCAGAGGGUGGUGGAAUUCCCGGUGUAGCGGUGAAAUGCGUAGAGAUCGGGAGGAACAUCAGUGGCGAAGGCGGCCACCUGGGACAACACUGACGCUGAGGCACGAAAGCGUGGGGAGCAAACAGGAUUAGAUACCCUGGUAGUCCACGCCCUAAACGAUGCGAACUGGAUGUUGGUCUCAACUCGGAGAUCAGUGUCGAAGCUAACGCGUUAAGUUCGCCGCCUGGGGAGUACGGUCGCAAGACUGAAACUUAAAUGAAUUG